GGGAGUGUAGCUCAGCUGGCAGAGUCCUUGCCUGGGGUGCAAGAGGUCCUGGGUUCAAUUCCCAGAACCACUG
rnacentral:tRNA from 1 species